CAAUGGGAGGGAGAUAUCCCAUCCGGCAACUACCGCUCCAGCCGGAAGCAACCGGAGCAUCUGCACGAGCAAUCAAACAGAUGAAGCCUCCGGUGGAAAAAAGGUCGCAAAAGGCGAUCAGCGAGCGCACAGGCCGUAACAUAA
rfam:Omnitrophica bacterium RIFCSPLOWO2_12_FTLL_50_11 rifcsplowo2_12_scaffold_8191, whole genome shotgun sequence.